GACGAACGCUGGCGGCGCGCUUAACACAUGCAAGUCGAACGGAAAGGCCUGCUUUCCCUUGUGGAUUGCGGGUACUCGAGUGGCGAACGGGUGAGUAACACGUGAGUGAUCUGCCCCCAACUUGGGUAUAAGCCUGGGAAACUGGGUCUAAUUCCCGAUAGGACUGCAGGGUGGUGCCUGUGGUGGAAAACGAUUUUCUAGUGGUUGGGGAUGAGCUCGCGGCCUAUCAGCUUGUUGGUGGGGUAUUGGCCUACCAAGGCGGCGACGGGUAGCCGGCCUGAGAGGGUGGACGGCCACAUUGGGACUGGGAUACGGCCCAGACUCCUACGGGAGGCAGCAGUGGGGAAUAUUGCACAAUGGGCGGAAGCCUGAUGCAGCGACGCCGCGUGGGGGAUGACGGCCUUCGGGUUGUAAACUCCUUUCGACCGCGAGGAAGCCACCUGGUUGGAAGGGUGGUGACGGUAGUGGUAGAAGAAGCACCGGCUAACUACGUG
rnacentral:rRNA from 1 species